AGAUGAGCGAGGCCUGUAAACCUGAGAGCGUCUAGCUUGGAAUACCUGUCGGGGCAAGACCCUGGGCUCCCCACUGCCGGGAUUUCAGCAUCCUCCAGUCCUCAAGCCCCGGACAAGCCCCAGGAGGACAGAGAAAAUACAUCGGGGCUCCCUGUUCUUCUCUGCCCCGAAUUCUGGUAUGUCCCCAGGCAAAAGCAGUGAAUCCUGAGCAGCUACGCACGGGAUC